rnacentral:rRNA from 1 species
UACGGAGGAUGCGAGCGUUAUCCGGAUUUAUUGGGUUUAAAGGGUGCGCAGGCGGCGUGUCAAGUCAGCGGUAAAAUGUCGGGGCUCAACCCCGGCCGGCCGUUGAAACUGGCGUGCUCGAGUUGGAGAGAAGUAUGCGGAAUGCGUGGUGUAGCGGUGAAAUGCAUAGAUAUCACGCAGAACUCCGAUUGCGAAGGCAGCAUACCGGCGCGCAACUGACGCUCAUGCACGAAAGCGUGGGUAUCGAACAGG